GUGUCAGCAGCCGCGGUAAUACGUAGGCAGCGAGCGUUGUUCGGAGUUACUGGGCGUAAAGGGUGUGUAGGCGGUUCUCUAAGUUUGGUGUGAAAUCUCCCGGCUUAACCGGGAGGGUGCGCCGAAAACUGGGGGGCUAGAGUGCGGGAUGGGAGAGUGGAAUUCCUGGUGUAGCGGUGAAAUGCGUAGAUAUCAGGAGGAACACCGGUGGUGUAGACGGCUCUCUGGACCGUAACUGACGCUGAGACACGAAAGCGUGGGUAGCAAACAGGAUUAGAUACCCGGGUAGUCC
rnacentral:rRNA from 1 species